rnacentral:rRNA from 1 species
AAAUUGAAGAGUUUGAUCAUGGCUCAGAUUGAACGCUGGCGGCAGGCCUAACACAUGCAAGUCGAACGGUAACAGGAAGCAGCUUGCUGCUUUGCUGACGAGUGGCGGACGGGUGAGUAAUGUCUGGGAAACUGCCUGAUGGAGGGGGAUAACUACUGGAAACGGUGGCUAAUACCGCAUAACGUCGCAAGACCAAAGAGGGGGACCUUCGGGCCUCUUGCCAUCAGAUGUGCCCAGAUGGGAUUAGCUUGUUGGUGAGGUAACGGCUCACCAAGGCGACGAUCCCUAGCUGGUCUGAGAGGAUGACCAGCCACACUGGAACUGAGACACGGUCCAGACUCCUACGGGAGGCAGCAGUGGGGAAUAUUGCACAAUGGGCGCAAGCCUGAUGCAGCCAUGCCGCGUGUAUGAAGAAGGCCUUCGGGUUGUAAAGUACUUUCAGCGGGGAGGAAGGUGUUGUGGUUAAUAACCGCAGCAAUUGACGUUACCCGCAGAAGAAGCACCGGCUAACUCCGUGCCAGCAGCCGCGGUAAUACGGAGGGUGCAAGCGUUAAUCGGAAUUACUGGGCGUAAAGCGCACGCAGGCGGUCUGUCAAGUCGGAUGUGAAAUCCCCGGGCUCAACCUGGGAACUGCAUUCGAAACUGGCAGGCUUGAGUCUUGUAGAGGGGGGUAGAAUUCCAGGUGUAGCGGUGAAAUGCGUAGAGAUCUGGAGGA